rnacentral:tRNA from 1 species
GAGAUUGUAGCUCAGUUGGUAAAGUGUUUGCCUAGCAUGCACAAAGCUCUGGGUUCAAUCCCCAGCACUGCCU